rnacentral:rRNA from 1 species
UAAACCUCUUCCAGAGUAUCAAUUGGAGGGCAAGUCUGGUGCCAGCAGCCGCGGUAAUUCCAGCUCCAAUAGCGUAUAUUAAACUUGUUGCAGUUAAAAAGCUCGUAGUUGAAUUUCUGCUGUAUCGUUUUCCUCUGCUUGACAGUUGGAUUUCGUUACGGCUUAGUUGGGUUACAGCUCUUGUUACCCAACGUUUACUUUGAGAAAAUUAGAGUGCUUCAAGCAGGCUUUUGCCUUGAAUACUUUAGCAUGGAAUAAUGGAGUAGGACUUUGGUUCUAUUUUGUUGGUUUUAGGAGCCAGAGUAAUGGUUAAUAGGAACAGUUGGGGGCAUUCGUAUUUGACUGUCAGAGGUG